rnacentral:rRNA from 1 species
UACAGAGGGUGCGAGCGUUAAUCGGAAUUACUGGGCGUAAAGCGUGCGUAGACGGUUAUUUAAGUCGGGUGUGAAAGCCCCGGGCUCAACCUGGGAAUUGCAUUCGAGACUGAAUAGCUAGGGUACGGUAGAGGGAAGCGGAAUUUCCGGUGUAGCGGUGAAAUGCGUAGAUAUCAGGAGGAACACCGGUGGCGAAGGCGGGUCUCUGGGCCGAUACUGACGCUGAGGCGCGACAGCGUGGGGAGCAAACAGG